UAAUUAGAGUCAUAUUUUAAAUCGUGCAAUCUAACUUUGUAAGAACCAUCUUCGUUAAUUAUAAUGUCUAUAAUGCAAUUUGUGUAAGUACGGUAGUCAAGUAGAUGAGGUCACGAGAUGAACCAACACAUCCUCACAUCAUUUGUUCAAAUGCUGCACACUGCUAUAUGGUAUCGAAAUACUAGCGUUAAUAAAACAAACAAUUUAAAUAUUCAACAAGAGACACUACUAAUACAGUAUUAGAGAAGAUUAUAGUCCUGAGGGGGGGGGGGGGGGAGAAAGACUGUGCCGCUGGUCAAUGUGUAGGCUACCCGGUCACGUGGCUUACUUACAAUUGACCAACCAGAGACAGGUCUACAUGAUAGGCUACAGCCUAUUGCAUCAUUAAGAAAAAUAGCGCCAGAACCAAACACCAUGACCAUCCCAUUCCAGUCAUAGUACUCAUAGAUCUACUUCAAGAUUGUGUUGAUUUGUGAUUAACUCGAAUCUAUUCUAACAACUUUGGAAUGUGUGCGUCAAGCAAAGACUCUCGGAACCAAAGAGUGAAAGAAUGAUGGCAUCACUAUGAUCACUUCUUGCUGGAUCUGUCCAAGAGUCAAUGAGUACAGGUGGACCAUGUUGGAAAAUAACUUUCAGUCAAGACUCAAGUUGAGACAAGAGCUCCAUUGAUGUUAUUGAUCAAACUGAACAUGUUCUAGAGAUACUGGAGAAAAGAUCUGAGUGCAGUACAGACUCAUUAAUUAAAAGAAGCAGAGAUAAAUACAAUCAGGAUUGGGUAUGAAGCAAAAUUCCCAAUGGCAAAUAAUGUAUCACUGUUGGAAAUAGAAGUGAAACUGAAGGAUGAAGAUUCUCAUGAAAAUUUGAUCUAUCCAGUGAAAACAGCAUUAAGAGAACAAUAGUAUGGAUUAUAACUUGGCUGGACUGGACAUGGCACAAACAGAAAAUAAAUGUAUUGAAUUUUCAAUCCAAAUUAUGGAUAUUAGAUUAUUCAAGUGAGUUACCCAAGUCUGUCAAAUAACUUAGAGAAAGUACUUGAACUUGGCACAUGUGAUGGCACAGAAAUCGUAAAAAAAGAAGGAUGAUCCCAAACAUGUAAAACAUUUUACAAACAAACCUAAUCAAAGUUUAUAAAUGUUUAAAAAAAGUAAGAUGCACAAGCAAAUUUAUUUACAUACUACAGAUAUUAGAACUAAUG